GGGGGGGGGGGGGGGGGGGGGGGGGGCGGGCGGGGGGGGCGGGGGGGGGCGGCGGGGGGGGGGGGCUGGAGGGGGGAACGGGGGGGUAACACGUGCGGAGCCUGCCCUCGGCGUUGGGAUAACUUCCGGAAACUGGGGCUAAUACCGUAUCGGAGCGCCUGCUGCAUGGUGUGGGUCGGACAGUUUCGUCGGUCGGGGAUGGACUCGCGGCUUAUCAGCUUGUUGGUGGGGUAGUGGCUUCCCAAGGCUUUGACGGGUAGCCGGCCGGAGAGGGUGACCGGCCACAUUGGGACUGAGAUACGGCCCAGACUCCUACGGGGGGCAGCAGUGGGGAAUGUUGCACAAUGUGCGGAAGCCUGAUGCAGCAACGCCGCGUGCGGGAGGACGGCCUUCGGGUUGUAAACCGCUUUCGCCUGUGACGAAGCGUGAGUGACGGUAAUGGGUAAAGAAGCACCGGCUAACUACGU
rnacentral:rRNA from 1 species